rnacentral:lncRNA from 1 species
UCAUAUCCAAAUUCUUCUUCGGCUUGAUAUAGUAACUCUUGAAAUGAAGGUUGGUUCAAGUAUGAUACUGGAAUCACGAACCGCCUCAUUUCAUCUCCAACAUAGACUGCAAGAUGGCCUUUUGGGACCUCAAACCCCUUGGAAGAUGCUUGGGUUGUAGAAAAUGAUGCCCUUCUAAUAAGACCUGGUAUGCGGAAACCCAUUGUUUUUAAUUGCUCUACACAAAAAAUAAUAUACUAAUGUAAGAGGACUUAUAUGAGCAAGAAAUAUUAUGAACUUUGAUAACUCAAGAUGCCAAUGACUUGUGGUGCUUGAGAAGUAGUGUAUAUAUAGUUGCUAAUGGCCUAUGCCAAGUGCCAACUAAUUGCCUCAAUCUAUGGAUUUUGAAAGGGCAAUGAUGGGUCUACUGAAGGACAAGGGAUCACAUGCUGUUGUCUUUGAGAUCUCUUUCAUGGAUUAGGAUGUUAAAUGGGGCUGUCUACCUUACCUUAUGAGAUAAUGGCCAACAGAUUGCCCACUUGAAAUUAAUGGCAAUGGACAGGGGAAACCUAAUGUUUGUUUAUGGAGUUUGCUAUAAUUAAUCUAUUGGUAGACAUGCUUUAGACAUAUCAUGUUAGGUUGUGUUUGUCAACCCAACAACAUCCCAAACUCGGCAGUAGAGAAGAGAAUUAAGAGACGAAAAACUGAUAUUAUUAAUUGAAAUAGGUAAACCUUCUACUAAGGGAGAAUCCCUUUCAAGAGUGAAACCCUUUUACAACUCCAACACUACAAAAACAUAAAUCCUAUCCUUAUGCUAAUACUCCUAUUUACAAUAGUCUAACGCUACUAAUGAAAUAAGGUUAGUCCAAACAGCCCAACUCAAUUAAUAAAAAUAAACUCAACCAAAAUAAAAGACACACUCAGCCAUAUAGGCCCAAAAAGACUAACUAAUAAAAUGAAAUAAACCCAGGCACAAGCUCAAGGUCCAACGAGGCAAACGCUGGGCUGUACGCAGCCUGGCAUCUAAGCGCAGGGCUGUGCCUAACCAGCUAAGCGCAUCAGCUGCUGCCUCCCCUCUUGUCCAACCUCUACAAGCCUGUCGUAAAAUUCAGGCUCAAUAAUAUUUGGAACCCUAACAAUACUCCCCUCCAAAAAUUAAACAUUGUCCUCAAGGUUGCAACAUAACAAGUUAGAGUCCACCCGGAGAUGGUGAUUGAUCAGCGACACCAAAUAGACAUGGUAAGGGUCUAUCAAUUAUGUUGCCCCUUUCCCAAGGAAACCAGCCAUGCCAUUCCCAAAAUAACUUCCACACCACUAAAAUCAAGCAAGUAAAAAUCUCAGGGAUAAACGUCCUCCUUCCCCAUUUUCAAAAGGCUUAAUCCAGUUUUUGGUCCCUAUCCUUUGUCAUAAAUAUGACUUUAGUCCCUCGCCGGAGUAAAGGUGGGGAUUGGUCCCCAGUUUUUGGCAAAAUAAUUGGCUUUGGUCCUUCCGACCGGUUGGGUCAACGCCGGAGCUCCGCCAGCUGACGUGGCCCUUGCCACGUCAAUUAAUGAGCCACGCUGGAUUUUUUUUUCUUUUUUCAUUAAAAUUCUAAAAAUAAAAAACCAUAAUUAAAAGUUAAAACCCUUAAAUCUCUUCUUCUUAAUUAAUCAUUCACCUAAUUAAAUCAUUCAUUUAUUUAAAAUAAAAUAAAUCAAAGUAGUAAUGAAUUUUCAAUUUUGCUGCAUCGUUGUCCCCAAUUCCCCCUUUUCCAUUUCCUUCCCUUCAUAGCAACGCCAACCACCGCCAUUAUUGGUGGUUUCACUCAACGAGCAACCCUUAAUUCCUUCAUUCAUUGAUUAUCAUUCCCUUUCUUCUUCGAUCUGCUUCCAUUCCCUUUCUUCUCCACCCACAAACCCAUUUUCUCUUCAACACCCAGACCUCUUCUCUUCUCCACUCACAAAACCCAUUUUCUCCAAACUCAUCACCGUCAUCCUCUUCUCUUCGUCUAUCAGGGUCUCUCCGAACCCAAAAAACCCCCCAAGUCUUCGAUCAACUCUCUGCCACCACCACACCAAGAUCUAUGUCCAGAGUUUUGGGUUUGGUUUCUGAGUUUCCUGGCUUCAUUCAAUGGUUUUUGGGUUCAAUUGCUUUUGAUUGCUAGGGAGAGAUGCUAUGUGUUUAAGUCAUGAGGAUCUCUGUUUUUGGGUUCAAUUGCUUUGAUUUCUGGGUUGGAUUGUUUCUGGGUUCUCAUAGAUGUUUCUGGGAUCUCUGUUUUUGUGGGGGUGGUUUGACAGUGUCGUAACAUGAUGAUGGGUUGAAGAUGAUGGGUUGUAGACCAGAUCUGGGUUUUUCUUUGCAAGUAUGAAUUCGGUUUUUUUAUAAUGAUGAUGGAUUGAAGAUGAUGUUGAUAAUGAUGAAGAAAAUGCAAUGAAUGAAGAUGAUGUUGUUAGCUAAUUUAAUUAUUAAUUAGUGUGUCUUAAAUUUAUUUUAAUUUAAUGAAAAAAGAAAAAAAAAUCCAGCGAGGCUCAUUAAUUGACGUGGCAAGAGCCACAUCAACUGGCGGAGCUCCGGCGUUGACUCAACCGGUCGGAAGGACCAAAGCCAACUAUUUUGCCAAAAACUGGGGACCAAUCCCCACCUUUGCUCCGGCGAGGGACUAAAGCCAUAUUUAUGACAAAGGAUAGGGACCAAAAACUGGAUUAAGCCUUUUCAAAAUUAGAUUCGAGCAACAUACCUGAAAUUGUUGCUGUUCAUUUCCCAUCCUAACCCCAAAAUGCUAGGUAGGUUGAACCUCCCACCUCAUCCACAAAACCAGUUCCUUCACUAUAAAAUUGUGACUGGCGCCACUAUCAAUUAGCAUUAUAACCCUGACGCCAUCAAUUACACCGCAUAACUUCAUGAUGUUUAAGGUUGUUAUACUACCGGAGACAAGCUGAGAUAAUUCCACUCAUUGGCACUGGUAAUGUUCCACCAGGGCACCAUCAAUAUCAACUGUGUCUUGCACCUCAUUCGUCCUCACCCAAAAUAGUAACCCUCAAACUCCCUUCUGGACACUCAUGCCUAAAUCCAUAAGCCAUACCACACUUAAUGCAUCUCCCUUCCUCGUUGAGCUUCAAGAACUCCGCGUAUGGCAUUUGUCUUACUCUCCUGACCCUUUGAGGUAGUGGUUGUCCUUCAGCAAUGAGAAACUCUUCUUCAACAUUUCACGCGAUCUCCAUGGCGUGCAACACCGCAGUAGGGCUAAAAGAACACACUCUACACCGAAUCUCCGGUUUGAGACCCCCUAUAAAAUACUCCAAGACCUGAUCUUCUGAAAUAUCUGUAACUUGGGUCACCAAUGCUUCAAAUUCACAGAGAUAAUCAACAAUGCUACCUUCCUGUUUGAGAGUUUUCAAUUUCUUGAGAAUGAAGCUAUUGCUACCUUCACCAAAACGCUUAAGCAAGAGCGGAAUCAUUGAAUUCCAUGAAAGAGACGGGGUUCGUUGUCGGAUGAAACGGUACCAAUGAAGCGCUUCCCCUUUUUAUUUAUAAGCAACCCGCUUACUUUAGGUAUUGUUUAUAUCAUACACAUGGUGGAAAUUUUAUUUUUUCUUUUAAUUUUUUUUAUAAUAUCAAUAUGUUUCAAAUGCUUAAAUCUUAAAGCAAUUGUGACCGUGCACUGUAAAUCGAAACUUAUAACCUUUUAGCCUAAUACUUAUAAACUGGAAUUUGAUAAUAACGCUUCUUUAUAUAAUGGAAUUCGUUGAGACUUUGGAAAAGCUGAAAGUGUUUUAAGGAAUUCUUGUAUUCUCAUUCAGGUAACAUUUGUCUACUUCUAUAAGAAUGAUACAAAAGGAAGAAACAAAAUGGAAAAUCUUCAUAAUAGAAGAAAAAUGAAUUCUGUACAAAUUUUCCUCAACUAAUCUAUCUCUCUCUGCUGGCAUGAUUUCCAGCUCAUUCAUUCAACUGAGAAAUGAGGUUUAGGAACUCAUCCUCCCUGCAUGGAAUUGUAAGACCACCUGUUGGAUGAUCAUAUCCAAAUUCUUCUUCUGCUUGAUGUAGUAACUCUUGAAAAGAAGGUUGGUUCAAGUAUGAUACUGGAAUCACAAACCGCCUCAUUUCAUCUCCAACAUAGACUGCAAGAUGGCCUUUUGGGACCUCUAAUCCCUUGGAUGAUGCUUGAGUUUUAGAAAAUGAUGCUCUUCUAAGAAACUUGUGGAAACCCAUUGUUUUUUAUUUUAUUUCUCUACACAGAAAAUAGUAUACUGAUGUCAGAGGACUAGUAUGAGAAAGAAAUAUUUGAAUUUUGCUAACUCAAGAUGCUAUUGACUUGUGUUGCUUGAGAAGUAGUGUAUAUAUAGUUGUUAAUGGC